UCCAACAGUUUGAUGUCACCUUGGUGAUGGUGGCUCUGAUGUGAUGGAGGAGGAUGUAAAGUGAAGUGGACAUGUGAUACUGACGCAGCAGAGAGCAUAACAUGUUGUUACCAGCGUCCUGCCAACUAAAGAGAGCAGCAGAGCUUCAGAAUAAAAGCAUGAGGAGAGCACCACCAUCCCUCAGUCCCGACCUGACACAAACAAGAACUCAAAACACCACCGAGCUGAUCAGGAGGGGGCAACCCAGGUUACCUGAGAGCAUUGUGUACGUGUGUCUGCAGGUGAGAAGGCAGAGAGAGAGACUAACACAACUCUUCCACCCUGAAAAUCCUCCUGACACAAUGUGCUU